GCCUAUAAUGCAAGUCGUACGCUUCUUUUUCCACCGGAGCUUGCUCCACCGGAAAAAGAAGAGUGGCGAACGGGUGAGUAACACGUGGGUAACCUGCCCAUCAGAAGGGGAUAACACUUGGAAACAGGUGCUAAUACCGUAUAACAAUCGAAACCGCAUGGUUUUGAUUUGAAAGGCGCUUUCGGGUGUCGCUGAUGGAUGGACCCGCGGUGCAUUAGCUAGUUGGUGAGGUAACGGCUCACCAAGGCCACGAUGCAUAGCCGACCUGAGAGGGUGAUCGGCCACAUUGGGACUGAGACACGGCCCAAACUCCUACGGGAGGCAGCAGUAGGGAAUCUUCGGCAAUGGACGAAAGUCUGACCGAGCAACGCCGCGUGAGUGAAGAAGGUUUUCGGAUCGUAAAACUCUGUUGUUAGAGAAGAACAAGGAUGAGAGUAACUGUUCAUCCCUUGACGGUAUCUAACCAGAAAGCCACGGCUAACUACGUGCCAGCAGCCGCGGUAAUACGUAGGUGGCAAGCGUUGUCCGGAUUUAUUGGGCGUAAAGCGAGCGCAGGCGGUUUCUUAAGUCUGAUGUGAAAGCCCCCGGCUCAACCGGGGAGGGUCAUUGGAAACUGGGAGACUUGAGUGCAGAAGAGGAGAGUGGAAUUCCAUGUGUAGCGGUGAAAUGCGUAGAUAUAUGGAGGAACACCAGUGGCGAAGGCGGCUCUCUGGUCUGUAACUGACGCUGAGGCUCGAAAGCGUGGGGAGCAAACAGGAUUAGAUACCCUGGUAGUCCACGCCGUAAACGAUGAGUGCUAAGUGUUGGAGGGUUUCCGCCCUUCAGUGCUGCAGCUAACGCAUUAAGCACUCCGCCUGGGGAGUACGACCGCAAGGUUGAAACUCAAAGGAAUUGACGGGGGCCCGCACAAGCGGUGGAGCAUGUGGUUUAAUUCGAAGCAACGCGAAAACCUUACCAGGUCUUGACAUCCUUUGACCACUCUAGAGAUAGAGCUUCCCCUUCGGGGGCAAAGUGACAGUGGUGCAUGGUUGUCGUCAGCUCGUGUCGUGAAGAUGUUGGGUUAAGUCCCGCAACGAGCGCAACCCUUAUUGUUAGUUGCCAUCAUU
rnacentral:rRNA from 1 species